rnacentral:rRNA from 1 species
AGAACUUAGCAGAGAUGCUUUGGUGCCUUCGGGAACUCUGAGACAGGUGCUGCAUGGCUGUCGUCAGCUCGUGUUGUGAAAUGUUGGGUUAAGUCCCGCAACGAGCGCAACCCUUAUCCUUUGUUGCCAGCGGUUAGGCCGGGAACUCAAAGGAGACUGCCAGUGAUAAACUGGAGGAAGGUGGGGAUGACCGUCAAGUCAUCAUGGCCCUUACGAGUAGGGCUACACACGUGCUACAAUGGCGCAUACAAAGAGAAGCGACCUCGCGAGAGCAAGCGGACCUCAUAAAGUGCGUCGUAGUCCGGAUUGGAGUCUGCAACUCGACUCCAUGAAGUCGGAAUCGCUAGUAAUCGUGGAUCAGAAUGCCACGGUGAAUACGUUCCCGGGCCUUGUACACACCGCCCGUCACACCAUGGGAGUGGGUUGCAAAAGAAGUAGGUAGCUUAACCUUCGGGAGGGCGCUUACCACUUUGUGAUUCAUGACUGGGGUGAAGUCGUAACAAGGUAGGCGUAGUGCU